rnacentral:rRNA from 1 species
UACGUAGGGUGCAAGCGUUGUCCGGAAUUAUUGGGCGUAAAGAGCUCGUAGGCGGUCUGUCGCGUCGGCUGUGAAAACUCGGGGCUCAACCCCGAGCCUGCAGUCGAUACGGGCAGACUAGAGUUCGGUAGGGGAGACUGGAAUUCCUGGUGUAGCGGUGAAAUGCGCAGAUAUCAGGAGGAACACCGGUGGCGAAGGCGGUUCUCUGGGCCGAUAUCGACGCUGAGGAGCGAAAGCGUGGGGAGCGAACAGG